ACCAACUGAGGACUGAUUGAU
rnacentral:miRNA from 1 species